rnacentral:rRNA from 1 species
UACGUAGGGCGCAAGCGUUGUCCGGAAUUAUUGGGUGUAAAGAGCUCGUAGGCGGUUUGUCGCGUCUGCUGUGAAAACCUGAGGCUCAACCUCGGGCUUGCAGUGGGUACGGGCAGACUAGAGUGCGGUAGGGGUGACUGGAAUUCCUGGUGUAGCGGUGGAAUGCGCAGAUAUCAGGAGGAACACCGAUGGCGAAGGCGGGUCU